rnacentral:tRNA from 1 species
ACCUGGCUGGCUCAGUCGGUAGAGCAUGUGACUCUUAAUCUUGGGGUUUGGGGUUUGAGCUCCACGUUGGGUG